rnacentral:rRNA from 1 species
UGCAUGUCUCAGUGCAAGCCGAAUAAGGUGAACCGCGAAUGGCUCAUUAAAUCAGUUAUGGUUCCUUAGAUGGUGCACAGCUACAUGGAUAACUGUGGUAAUUCUAGAGCUAAUACAUGCAACUCGGUCCCGACCGGCGACGGAAGGGACGCUUUUAUUAGAUCAAAACCAAUCGGUCUUCGGGCCGUUUGCCUUGGUGACUCUGAAUAAAUUGUGGCAGAUCGCACGGCCUCCGAGCCGGCGACGCAUCUUUCAAAUGUCUGCCUUAUCAACUGUCGAUGGUAGGUUCUGCGCCUACCAUGGUUGUAACGGGUAACGGGGAAUCAGGGUUCGAUUCCGGAGAGGGAGCCUGAGAAACGGCUACCACAUCCAAGGAAGGCAGCAGGCGCGCAAAUUACCCACUCCCGGCACGGGGAGGUAGUGACGAAAAAUAACGAUACGGGACUCAUCCGAGGCCCCGUAAUCGGAAUGAGUACACUUUAAAUCCUUUAACGAGUAUCAAUUGGAGGGCAAGUCUGGUGCCAGCAGCCGCGGUAAUUCCAGCUCCAAUAGCGUAUAUUAAAGUUGUUGCGGUUAAAAAGCUCGUAGUCGGACUUGUGUCCCACGCUGCCGGUUCACCGCCCGUCGGUGUCUAACUGGCAUGCACGUGUGGACGUCCUGCCGGUGGCCAGAUCCGGCGCGGGUCUCGACCUGUCGUCCGGGGAAGGCCUAUCAUACCCGUCGCGGUGCUCUUAACCGAGUGUCUCGAUGGGCCGGCACGUUUACUUUGAACAAAUUAGAGUGCUUAAAGCAGGCAGCAUCCGCCUGAAUACCGAGUGCAUGGAAUAAUGGAAUAGGACCUCGGUUCUAUUUUGUUGGUUUUCGGAAUCUCCGAGGUAAUGAUCAAUAGGGACAGACGGGGGCAUUCGUAUUGCGACKUUUGAGGUGAAAUUCUUGUAUCGUCGCAUGACGGACCUAAGCGAAAGCAUUUGCCAAGAAUGUUUUCUCUGAUC